ACAAUUUUAGGGUGCAGUAAAGGCAGAAAGGAUAGUUGCAGAGUAGGGAAUAGAUGUGAGUUAUAGAUUAGGACUGAUGGGAAGAUUGUUUACCAUAAUUAGAGGCAAGGGGGCAUAAAGAACGAGGAAGUUACUCUUUGAAAAUAGAGAACAAAGAACAAGGAAGCUGAACAAGCUGACUCUUCUUUGAAGAGGAACCCACCGUACCCAACACCAGAAAGACUAUAACCUUGCUUUGAAGGCUGGGAGUCCAAGAUCCAGGUGUCAGCAGUGUUGGUAUCUCCUGUGGCCACUCUCCUGGGCUUGCAGACGGCGUCUUCUCCCUGUGUCCCCACAUGACCACCCUUCUCCACCUUAGCAUCCCCGGUGUCUCUGUGUGUCCGGAUGUCCUUUUCUCAUGAGGGAAGUGAACUUGACAUGGUUUAGCAACCAAAUAAAGCCAUACGUCACUGCUGCUCUUUGAAGAUAAUGAAAUCUGGCAUCGAGAUCUUUAUCUUUGCAGGAACCAAAGGCCAGAGACUUCUCAGCAAACACAAGACCAGAGAGAGAAGCAUCCCUGCUGAUGAGAAAGAACAGACACUCCCAGAGGACAAGGUCCACCUGUCAGGCAGCCACAGCCCAGCAUACUCUGGAGUCUGAGGUGGGGGUCAGUUGUGAAGAAAGGGAAGAAGGAAGAAAAAGGAUACGUUGUGCUCCGACCACAGGCCAAGGUCAGAAGACGGUAUUUACCAAGUCUCUUCCCAAAAUACUUGCAAAUGCACAUAAUCUCAAAGUGUUUUUGAGGGCUCUUCCGAUCUAAAAUUGGUCCUAGUGACAAGGGGUGUUUGGGGAAAUCAAA
ensembl:lncRNA LINC02533 long intergenic non-protein coding RNA 2533